rnacentral:rRNA from 1 species
AUUGAACGCUGGCGGCAUGCUUUACACAUGCAAGUCGAACGGUAACAGGCCGCAAGGUGCUGACGAGUGGCGAACGGGUGAGUAAUGCAUCGGAACGUGCCCAGUCGUGGGGGAUAACGCAGCGAAAGCUGUGCUAAUACCGCAUACGAUCUAUGGAUGAAAGCGGGGGACCGUAAGGCCUCGCGCGAUUGGAGCGGCCGAUGUCAGAUUAGGUAGUUGGUGGGGUAAAGGCCUACCAAGCCGACGAGCUGUAGCUGGUCUGAGAGGACGACCAGCCACACUGGGACUGAGACACGGCCCAGACUCCUACGGGAGGCAGCAGUGGGGAAUUUUGGACAAUGGGCGCAAGCCUGAUCCAGCAACGCCGCGUGCAGGAAGAAGGCCUUCGGGUUGUAAACUGCUUUUGUACGGAACGAAACGGUCUGGGUUAAUACCCUGGGCUAAUGACGGUACCGUAAGAAUAAGCACCGGCUAACUACGUGCCAGCCGCCGCGGUAA